rnacentral:rRNA from 1 species
GCACCUUCGGGUGUGAAUUAGCGGCGAACGGGUGAGGAACACGUGAGAAAUCUGCCUUCAACACUGGGAUAACUCCGGGAAACCGGGGCUAAUACCGGAUAUGAAACCUGCGGGCAUCCGCGGGUUUGGAAAGUUUUUCGGUUGAAGAUGAUCUCGCGGCCUAUCAGCUUGUUGGUGAGGUAAUGGCUCACCAAGGCGACGACGGGUAGCCGGCCUGAGAGGGCGACCGGCCACACUGGGACUGAGACACGGCCCAGACUCCUACGGGAGGCAGCAGUGGGGAAUAUUGGGCAAUGGAGGAAACUCUGACCCAGCGACGCCGCGUGCGGGAUGAAGGCCUUCGGGUUGUAAACCGCUUUCAGCAGGGAAGAAGCGAAAGUGACGGUACCUGCAGAAGAAGCACCGGCUAACUAUGUGCCAGCAGCCGCGGUAAUACAUAGGGUGCAAGCGUUGUCCGGAAUUAUUGGGCGUAAAGAGCUCGUAGGUGGUUCGUCACGUCGGAUGUGAAACUCUGGGGCUUAACCCCAGACCUGCAUUCGAUACGGGCGAGCUUGAGUAUGGUAGGGGAGUCUGGAAUUCCUGGUGUAGCGGUGGAAUGCGCAUAUAUCAGGAGGAACACCAAUGGCGAAGGCAGGACUCUGGGCCAUUACUGACACUGAGGAGCGAAAGCGUGGGGAGCGAACAGGAUUAGAUACCCUGGUAGUCCACGCCGUAAACGGUGGGCACUAGUUGU